rnacentral:lncRNA from 1 species
UGCUUUGAUGGAUUUUUUACAUAUGCUAGUAAUUACAACUAAACUAAAACAAGUACAAAAACAAGUUGUUUUACAAAGACAGAAGACAACAAUUAACAAUACAAAACAUCUGCUAUUUCUUGAAUUGCCUUUACUUUUCUUCUUAUUUUUCUUUGGCUUACAAUUUCCUUCGAUCCUCCCUUUAUCAUCUCAGCCACUAUUGUGGCAUUUGUCUGCGAGGUUUCAUAUGUACUUUCGGCUAACUUAUCGGAUAAACGUCGAAUACAACUGUUUUCAUCUUUGGUUUAUUCUUACCAUAUUCCUUCAAAGCUGCACUGACCUUGCAUUAACUGACCAAGUUCUUGUUGACUGAAAAACAAAACCAAAAUAAUAAAUAAAAAGGAAUCAGAAUAUAAGCUACAUUGAAAGAGAAAAUUACAUGAAAAAUAUUAUUUAGAUAAACUUACUUCUGAGAGAAUUGCUUUAACUGACCUUGCAUUCAAAGAUAUACCAACUGAGAACUGCUAUAAUAUAUCGAGGAUCCAUUCUUCUUCUUCAUUUAACGAAAUACAUUGGGACUACACCGAUUUUAUCAUGAGUAGGUUGCGCAAAUGAAAGAUCAAUAAGUAAAGUUGAGAAAAACGACAAGAGUUUGGAAACUAGAAUAAAGAAAUUCAGUAUGGCAUCAAAACAGAAAUAUACAAUAAAACAAUCUGACCAACAGUUCGAGCAGACCAGCAGUGGUGUGACUCGGCAAAAUUUACUAGUUUAUAUUAAGUGUAGCAGAUAUAAUACUUAGAAGCAUUUCUAUAAGCCAAUGUAAAUGGACAUGCACAUAAGUCUUUUCUGAUUAUUCAUCCCUGGCCUCCGGACUUGACUACAAAUAAAUACACACCAAUAAUCACAUCAUUAAGAUAAAUGUAAGGUACCUGAUUGUUGUUUAGAGAGUUGGUUCCCUAUAUUCUUAUCUGUUAUCAGGGGGAUCUUGUCUUCUUCUUUUCGCUACAUCCGCAACCUCGAAAAUGCUUGAUUGCCAUAACUUGUUCAACUGUAUCCACAUUUUACCUCUGAAUCUGCCUUUGCGAAUAUUGCCUGCCUGAAAAAGAUUAUAGUUGGUUUGAGGUUAUGUAGAAUAUUAUAAACAAAUCAAUUACUCAACUCAUAAAAUUAUGACUGAUGAUAAGCAAAUCUAAAAUCUAAAUGUUUGAAAAACGUAAUUGUCCCCAAGAAUUAAAGUACAUAAAAAUGAAAUACAUGAGUAGGAGAGAAAAACAUUAUAACUGAAAAAAUAGCUUUUGUUUCCGUAGUAGACAGUCAAACAGAAAAAAGUUCGCAUUAGUUUUGUGGUUUGCUGCAAUAAAGACAUGAAUCUGGCACAUGCUCCACAACUACGAGUGUUGCCAUUUGGUUCAGGUACAGAAUACCAGAUUGAAAAUUUGACUAACCCAUAUAGCUAGUUAUAACUUAUAAGAGGCUAACAUAAUCCAAAGUUGCGAGAAUUCAUAGAUACUUAAUAAGCAAUAUUGGGGAAAUGGAGUGACAUAUACCCUCGCACAAAGGAAACAAAAGUUGUAACUGUCAUUAAACAGAAAUGCUACAUUUUACACAUGCUUAUCUAUUGGUUUAUAAAUAUAGCUAAUUCUAUGUAGUGAUAUAAACAGAUAGUAUUGUGUAUGUGGAUUAACUAAUUAAGACAAAGAAGCUUACUCGUGGACAAUUUAGGAUCCUGAGCAUAUAAAGGAAUUCCUACAACAUUAUACAAAUAUAAGAACAUAAAUUAACAGAGCAUAUAAUAAACAAUUUUGUUCUGGUUUUUUUCCCCCAAAACCUAUGCUGAAAUUAAAACUACAGAAUGUUAUAAACCAAGAUCUACAUCACUCAUUUUAACAAUAAACCAUUUUUAAUUACUUAUCAAAAUCAAAGACAAAAAGACAUCAAGCAAGCCGAAAUUCCUGAAGAUUUGAAAAACCCUAGCAAAUUUCAAAAUAAAAAUUAGAACUUUAUUCAUAAAGAGAGAUUGCAAAGAAGAUUAAUUACUGGUGAAUGUCGAGAUAUCUCUCAAAUUAAAACAUGAAUAUCGAGAAGUUUACCUUCGUUGUAUUGAGAUAGAUGAAAUUGAAGAUUUAGUUUCAGCCUUUUAGAUUUCUUUACAAAGAAGAUUAGUGGGUGUGGUGUUUUUUGAACAAAAGAGGAAAGAAGAUUAGGGUUCUUAUGUAGACACGAAAAUAGUUGUGGUUAGCAUUUUUUUUAUUUUAUUUUUAAUAAUUUUG